rnacentral:rRNA from 1 species
GGCAGGCCUAACACAUGCAAGUCGAGGGGUAACAGGGAGCUUGCUCCGCUGACGACCGGCGCACGGGUGCGCAACGCGUAUGCAAUCUACCUCUUACUAAGGGAUAGCCCAGAGAAAUUUGGAUUAAUAUCUUAUGUGAUAUGUGACUGGCAUCGGUUACAUAUUAAAGGUUACGGUAAGAGAUGAGCAUGCGUCUCAUUAGUUAGUUGGUAAGGUAACGGCUUACCAAGACUUCGAUGAGUAGGGGUCCUGAGAGGGAGAUCCCCCACACUGGUACUGAGACACGGACCAGACUCCUACGGGAGGCAGCAGUGAGGAAUAUUGGACAAUGGACGGAAGUCUGAUCCAGCCAUGCCGCGUGUAGGAAGACUGCCCUAUGGGUUGUAAACUACUUUUAUACAGGAAGAAUAAGAUCUACGUGUAGAUUGAUGACGGUACUGUAAGAAUAAGGACCGGCUAACUCCGUGCCAGCAGCCGCGGUAAUACGGAGGGUCCGAGCGUUAUCCGGAAUUAUUGGGUUUAAAGGGUCCGUAGGCGGGCUGUUAAGUCAGAGGUGAAAUGCUGCGGCUCAACCGUAUGCACUGCCUUUGAUACUGGCGGUCUUGAGUUAUAGUGAAGUGGCUAGAAUAAGUAGUGUAGCGGUGAAAUGCAUAGAUAUUACUUAGAAUACCGAUUGCGAAGGCAGGUCACUAACUAUACACUGACGCUGAUGGACGAAAGCGUGGGUAGCGAACAGGAUUAGAUACCCUGGUAGUCCACGCCGUAAACGAUGGAUACUAGCUGUUCGGUUUUCGGACUGAGCGGCCAAGCGAAAGUGAUAAGUAUCCCACCU